GAUGAACGCUGGCGGCGUGCCUAACACAUGCAAGUCGAACGAACGGACGCGAAUUUUGCUUCUCUGAUGUUAGCGGCGGACGGGUGAGUAACACGUGGACAACCUCCCUAUUAGACUUUAGUCACUUCGAGUACCCGUAACUACUGCCUGAUAAUAUUUUUAACCGCAUGGUUCAAAAGUGACAUCCGUUCUUGCUGUCCCUUAUUGCUGGCUCCGCGCUGCAUUAGCUAGUUGGUACGGUAACGGCUUACCAAGGCAACGAUGCAUAGCCGACCUGAGAGGGUGAUCGGCCACACUGGAACUGAGACACGGUCCAGACUCCUACGGGAGGCAGCAGUAGGGAAUCUUCGGCAAUGGGCGAAAGCCUGACGGAGCAACGCCGCGUGAGUGAAGAAGGUCUUCGGAUCGUAAAACUCUGUUAUUAGGGAAGAACAUAUGUGCAAGUAACUGUGCACAUCGUGACGGUACCUAAACAAAAAGCAACGGCUAACUACGUG
rnacentral:rRNA from 1 species